rnacentral:rRNA from 1 species
GGUUAAGCGACUAAGCGUACACGGUGGAUGCCCUGGCAGUCAGAGGCGAUGAAGGACGUGCUAAUCUGCGAAAAGCGUCGGUAAGGUGAUAUGAACCGUUAUAACCGGCGAUGUCCGAAUGGGGAAACCCAGUGUGAUUCGUCACACUAUCGUUAACUGAAUACAUAGGUUAACGAGGCGAACCGGGGGAACUGAAACAUCUAAGUACCCCGAGGAAAAGAAAUCAACCGAGAUUCCCCCAGUAGCGGCGAGCGAACGGGGAGCAGCCCAGAGUCUGAAUCAGCUUGUGUGUUAGUGGAACGGUCUGGAAAGUCCGACGGUACAGGGUGAUAGUCCCGUACACCAAAAUGCACAGGCUGUGAACUCGAAGAGUAGGGCGGGACACGUGGUAUCCUGUCUGAAUAUGGGGGGACCAUCCUCCAAGGCUAAAUACUCCUGACUGACCGAUAGUGAACCAGUACCGUGAGGGAAAGGCGAAAAGAACCCCGGCGAGGGGAGUGAAAAAGAACCUGAAACCGUGUACGUACAAGCAGUGGGAGCACCUUCGGGUGUGACUGCGUACCUUUUGUAUAAUGGGUCAGCGACUUAUAUUCUGUAGCAAGGUUAACCGUAUAGGGGAGCCGCAGGGAAACCGAGUCUUAACUGGGCGUUAAGUUGCAGGGUAUAGACCCGAAACCCGGUGAUCUAGCCAUGGGCAGGUUGAAGGUUGGGUAACACUAACUGGAGGACCGAACCGACUAAUGUUGAAAAAUUAGCGGAUGACUUGUGGCUGGGGGUGAAAGGCCAAUCAAACCGGGAGAUAGCUGGUUCUCCCCGAAAGCUAUUUAGGUAGCGCCUCGUGAAUUCAUCUUCGGGGGUAGAGCACUGUUUCGGCUAGGGGGUCAUCCCGACUUACCAACCCGAUGCAAACUACGAAUACCGAAGAAUGUUAUCACGGGAGACACACGGCGGGUGCUAACGUCCGUCGUGAAGAGGGAAACAACCCAGACCGCCAGCUAAGGUCCCAAAGUCAUGGUUAAGUGGGAAACGAUGUGGGAAGGCACAGACAGCCAGGAUGUUGGCUUAGAAGCAGCCAUCAUUUAAAGAAAGCGUAAUAGCUCACUGGUCGAGUCGGCCUGCGCGGAAGAUGUAACGGGGCUAAACCAUGCACCGAAGCUGCGGCAGCGACACUAUGUGUUGUUGGGUAGGGGAGCGUUCUGUAAGCCUGCGAAGGUGACCUGUGAGGGUUGCUGGAGGUAUCAGAAGUGCGAAUGCUGACAUAAGUAACGAUAAAGCGGGUGAAAAGCCCGCUCGCCGGAAGACCAAGGGUUCCUGUCCAACGUUAAUCGGGGCAGGGUGAGUCGACCCCUAAGGCGAGGCCGAAAGGCGUAGUCGAUGGGAAACAGGUUAAUAUUCCUGUACUUGGUGUUACUGCGAAGGGGGGACGGAGAAGGCUAUGUUAGCCGGGCGACGGUUGUCCCGGUUUAAGCAUGUAGGCUGAUUGUCCAGGCAAAUCCGGAUAAUCAAGGCUGAGGUGUGAUGACGAGGCACUACGGUGCUGAAGUAACAAAUGCCCUGCUUCCAGGAAAAGCCUCUAAGCAUCAGGUAACAUCAAAUCGUACCCCAAACCGACACAGGUGGUCAGGUAGAGAAUACCAAGGCGCUUGAGAGAACUCGGGUGAAGGAACUAGGCAAAAUGGUGCCGUAACUUCGGGAGAAGGCACGCUGGUGUGUAGGUGAAGCCCCUGCGGGUGGAGCUGAGACCAGUCGAAGAUACCAGCUGGCUGCAACUGUUUAUUAAAAACACAGCACUGUGCAAACACGAAAGUGGACGUAUACGGUGUGACGCCUGCCCGGUGCCGGAAGGUUAAUUGAUGGGGUUAUCCGUAAGGAGAAGCUCUUGAUCGAAGCCCCGGUAAACGGCGGCCGUAACUAUAACGGUCCUAAGGUAGCGAAAUUCCUUGUCGGGUAAGUUCCGACCUGCACGAAUGGCGUAAUGAUGGCCAGGCUGUCUCCACCCGAGACUCAGUGAAAUUGAACUCGCUGUGAAGAUGCAGUGUACCCGCGGCAAGACGGAAAGACCCCGUGAACCUUUACUAUAGCUUGACACUGAACAUUGAGCCUUGAUGUGUAGGAUAGGUGGGAGGCUUUGAAGCGUGGACGCCAGUCUGCGUGGAGCCAACCUUGAAAUACCACCCUUUAAUGUUUGAUGUUCUAACGUUGGCCCCUUACCGGGGUUGCGGACAGUGUCUGGUGGGUAGUUUGACUGGGGCGGUCUCCUCCCAAAGCGUAACGGAGGAGCACGAAGGUUAGCUAAUCCUGGUCGGACAUCAGGAGGUUAGUGCAAUGGCAUAAGCUAGCUUGACUGCGAGCGUGACGGCGCGAGCAGGUGCGAAAGCAGGUCAUAGUGAUCCGGUGGUUCUGAAUGGAAGGGCCAUCGCUCAACGGAUAAAAGGUACUCCGGGGAUAACAGGCUGAUACCGCCCAAGAGUUCAUAUCGACGGCGGUGUUUGGCACCUCGAUGUCGGCUCAUCACAUCCUGGGGCUGAAGUAGGUCCCAAGGGUAUGGCUGUUCGCCAUUUAAAGUGGUACGCGAGCUGGGUUUAGAACGUCGUGAGACAGUUCGGUCCCUAUCUGCCGUGGGCGCUGGAGAAUUGAGGGGGGCUGCUCCUAGUACGAGAGGACCGGAGUGGACGCAUCACUGGUGUUCGGGUUGUCAUGCCAAUGGCACUGCCCGGUAGCUAAAUGCGGAAGAGAUAAGUGCUGAAAGCAUCUAAGCACGAAACUUGCCCCGAGAUGAGUUCUCCCUGAGACUUUAAGUCUCCUGAAGGAACGUUGAAGACGACGACGUUGAUAGGCCGGGUGUGUAAGCGCAGCGAUGCGUUGAGCUAACCGGUACUAAUGAACCGUGAGGCUUAACCUU